rnacentral:rRNA from 1 species
GAUGAACGCUGGCGGCGUGCCUAAUACAUGCAAGUCGAGCGAACAGACGAGGAGCUUGCUCCUCUGACGUUAGCGGCGGACGGGUGAGUAACACGUGGAUAACCUACCUAUAAGACUGGGAUAACUUCGGGAAACCGGAGCUAAUACCGGACAAUAUAUUGAACCGCAUGGUUCAAUAGUGAAAGACGGUUUUGCUGUCACUUCUAGAUGGAUCCGCGCCGCAUUAGCUAGUUGGUAAGGUAACGGCUUACCAAGGCUACGAUGCGUAGCCGACCUGCAAGGGGGAUCGGCCACACUGGAACGGAGACACGGUCCAGACUCCUACGGCAGGCAGCAGUAGGGAAUCUUCCGCAAUGGGCGAAAGCCUGACGGAGCAGCGCCGCGUGAGUGAUGAAGGUCUUCGGAUCGUAAAACUCUGUUACUAGGUAAGAACAAAUUUGUGAGUAACUAUGCACGUCUUGACGGUACCUGAUGAGAAAGCCACGGCUAACUACGUG